rnacentral:tRNA from 1 species
UUUUCUAUGGUGUAAAACACAUUGCUCUUUCAUAGCAAAGCUGAAUAUUUUUUUUCUAGAAAUU